AAAUGAUGAAACCAAACUGAAAAUAGCUGGAAUUACCGGCAGAUUGCUCAGUGGUGAUAUUCGGUUUACUGAAC